AUUGAACGCUGGCGGCAUGCCUUACACAUGCAAGUCGAACGGCAGCACGGGUGCUUGCACCUGGUGGCGAGUGGCGAACGGGUGAGUAAUACAUCGGAACAUGUCCUGUAGUGGGGGAUAGCCCGGCGAAAGCCGGAUUAAUACCGCAUACGAUCUACGGAUGAAAGCGGGGGACCUUCGGGCCUCGCGCUAUAGGGCUGGCCGAUGGCUGAUUAGCUAGUUGGUGGGGUAAAGGCCUACCAAGGCGACGAUCAGUAGCUGGUCUGAGAGGACGACCAGCCACACUGGGACUGAGACACGGCCCAGACUCCUACGGGAGGCAGCAGUGGGGAAUUUUGGACAAUGGGCGAAAGCCUGAUCCAGCAAUGCCGCGUGUGUGAAGAAGGCCUUCGGGUUGUAAAGCACUUUUGUCCGGAAAGAAAUCCUUGGCCCUAAUACGGUCGGGGGAUGACGGUACCGGAAGAAUAAGCACCGGCUAACUACGUG
rnacentral:rRNA from 1 species